rnacentral:lncRNA from 1 species
GUCACCCAGGCUGGAGUGCAGUGGCAAGAUCUCAGCUCACUGCAACCUCUGCCUCCCAGAUUCAAGCAAUUUUCCUACCUCAGCCUCCUGAGUAGCUGGGAUUACAAGUGCCUGCCACCAUGCCCAGCUAAUUUUUGCAGUUUUAGUAGAGACGGGGUUUCAGCACGUUGGCCAGGCUGGUCUCAAACUUCUGACCUCAGGCGACCCACCAGCCUCGGCCUCCCAAAGU